CAAAAACCAGGCAACCUCACAGAAGCCUCACUCUGGACUCUUGAUCCUCUACCUGGAGACAUCGCUCAUGAGAGUCACUAUGGAGGUGCAAGACCCAGAACCCUGGGAUGAUGGGAGGCAGUGAAUGUUCUGAAAUGGAGGCUGGAGGCACUGAUGGUGAAUGUGGUCUAGUGAACUGAGAAUGCAACCAGACAAGCUGGAUGUGCUGUUGAAUGCAGAUUUGAAGAUCUUGGAGAGCUGGGUACAUGUGGUACUUUACCUCUUCUGGCUUUUGUAGUUCUGCUGGUCUUCCAGUUUCAACGAGCGAAAGGAGCUUGCAUUUCUCUGUGUAAUGAAGCUGCCCUGAAUCCAGGAGCUGGCUCUUGUGGUGGUUCCAUAUGCAGUCAAAUUAACCAUGCAAUACACUAGGACAAAGAAAGCUGCAUAUAUCCACUCAUCUACAACAAGACUAUGCUGUAACAGUUUGGAAAUCUGGUACUCGUACUGGCAUUCUAAGAUACCCAGCUAAUUUUUAAGUUCAUUAUUGUUAAAUAAAUUUUAAAGUUUUUUCA